GCCACAUCACGUUGAAACACUGCUUCCCAUACGAUCACUGAAGUUAAGCAGUCAGUACCUAGAUAGGUGACUGCUUGGGAAUACCAGGUGCUGUAAG